UAUAAAGAGGACCCAGUUACACAGAAUAGAGUAGGUGGUAACUUGGAACAAGAAGGGGAUGGCCCCAUGACUGCAGCAGAGAGGCUCAUGGGAGGAAGAGGUGGUAGGCUAGAGAAGAAGCAAACAAAGGGACUUGGAGGUGGAGGUUAAGCUUUGAGAGGUGCACAGGUACAGGAAGGACUCAGGUCUUUGAAGAAGUAAUAUGGAGAAGGAAGGCAUCUUGGCCUUCGAGUUCCAGCAUCUUAGCUCAGAGCCUCAGAGUUGUGAGGUUACUCUGGGUACUUAAGGGCUUCCCUUCCCAUCUAACCUGCUUCAGGACAAGUGUCCUGGAGGUCCACCUCACCACUGCAGAGCUUUCAGAGAACAAGGCAGGUGUGCUCAGGUGGCUCCUUUGGUGAAAAGCAACCAGAUAUGAUUUCUUGUCAUCUUUGUGUCAAAAAUGCUGUUUGCUUGUGGAAAUCAAGCCUGAUUCACACCAGAAUGACUGCUUGACAUGAGCCCUUAUGUUUGGUAUCUUCUCCAGUUUAUAAAACAUCAUAGUCAUCCCACUGUUUUGUUUGUUUAGGUGUCUUGUUUUGUUUUCUCUGUGUAGUCCUGGCUUUCCUGGAACUCGACCUGUAGCUCAGGCUGGCCUCAGACUCAGAGAUCCACCUGUCUCUGCCUCCCAAGUGUGGGUAGUAAGUGUGUGUGCCACCUCCCAGGUCCCAUUGUCAUUUCUAACAGGACUUAUCCUUGAACUCAAGACACAUCCUGGGACUUCAGUUUCUCUCUGACGUCUACCAUCCCAUGAAAUAGGGACCUGCUGGUUGCCCAUGACUGAGCAAAGAGAUCCUCUGACAAGGUAAUUACCUGUGAUGGAGAAGGAGGUGCUAGAGAUGAGAGAUGGCCAGAGAUCUAUGAUAUGGGAAUUCUGAAGGCUAUGGUGAGGUCUAUACCAUCUUCCAGAGAAACACUCCUCAAAAGCCCUUGGUCAUCUCUGCAGCAUGUGGCACACUAAAGUAAGAGUAAAAGAGCACAUUUCAAGGGAGGGGCCUGCACUCCUAGCAGGCCUUUGGACUUUGAGCUUUCUCCACCAACUUUGCCAUAAUCAGAACUCAUUCCUCCACCUGAGAACAGCGUGCAUGUUGACUUUGUAAAACCUCCCUCCAUCUUUAAUCCUUAUUAUUUGGGUUAAAAUGUCUCUGCCACUACUUUCAAAAGCAAUCACUUGACAAAGGCACAAAAAGCAGGUAUAAAACUAAAUCCUCUUUAGCAGCCCAGAACUCAGUGUUCAAUAUGAGUUUUGGUACACACAGGAAGGAGCACGAGGUGGGUGUGAUGGCCCACACCUUUAAUUCCAGCAAUCAAGUGUCAGAGAUGGGGUAUUUCUGUUUGAGGCUAGUCUGGUCUACAUGGCAAGUUCCAGGACUUGGGGAAAAAAGGACAGAGAGAGGGAGGGAAGGAGGGAGGAAGAGAGAGAGAGAGAGCGUGAUACACAAGAAAUGAUGGUGUUGAAGGUGAAAUUUUAUAAUUUCGAAACCUUCUUUCACAUACAGAUACACACACACUUACAUCCCAUCCCCAACCCAUGGCUGUCUGCUGUUAUUGAAGCCCUGUGUUCCUGUUAUAAGAAGGAGCAAACAUUGCUAACAACCCAAGUCAUAAAACAAUUGAGAAGAUGGCCUGUGCCCCAUCUGCUCUGUUCCUUCUUAGGAAACAAGCAUCAUAUGCUGCCAUCCUUUCAUUUUUAAGCAGUCUUCCUACGGUCACUUCCCUGACAGUGAGGGAGCAUGCCAGGCAACAGCCUCCACCUUUGUGGAGAUUCCAACAGUUCAGGAAUCACUCUGAGGUCUCCACGACACUCCUAUUCUAGGUCUGAGUCCCAUCAAAACUCCAAAUAAGGGGAGUACUGUGGCUACACACUAAUGUGUUAAUAAGAAUUUUAAACUCAACAUGUUUGCUCUGGGG
rnacentral:lncRNA from 1 species